AUAUGGAUGAAAUUUUGGGCUAUAAAAGGAGUGUUUAUACAUAUUUACACACAUCUUGGGAGGCUACACGAAUGGAAAGGAGAAGCAGACAUUAAGGAGCUCAAACUAGGGUUCUUUCUUCUUUUAAUUUUCUUUCCCAUAGUUUUAAGUUAUGAAUUCAUUUAUGGAAAUUGCUUGUAUGAAUAUGAGUGACUAAACACACUCUUUCUUGGGUUGUUACAAAUUAUUGCUUACGUAUGGUUUAAAGUUUGGUUUAUAUGUUUAUCAAGUCAUGUAAUUUUACUUGCGUUCUUGUUUUACGAUUUAAAAGAAUUGCAAACUUUAAAAUAAAUUGUAGUCUCAAAAUGAAUUGACCAUAUGAGUGAAGGACGAAAUGAAGAACGUAGGAGUGUGGAUCAUAUCUUUAAUUGAUUAGGGGCUAAUUGUUAAAGGAUGAUUUGCGGUUAGGAUAAGGUUAUACCUAAACGCGCCACUUGAUUAAUGAAAUGGGAAGACCUCUUAAUAUAUUUGAAAUAAAGACUCACAUCGCCGCUCAACGAUGUAGUUGUGCAAAUUUUUUUUUGAGGAAAAAGUAAUUAAAUAUUCAAAAAAUUUUAUCAUCCAAACAAUAAUGAAAAUAAGCACUUAUAUCCCAUAGGGCAAAAACCCGAAAGCCACAGUAACUAAUCUAUAAUAUUUUACAAUUUCCUAUAAAAUCAACAAAAAGUUCUAUAUCCCCCACUAUAUCUUCUUUACAGCAAAAAUAUAAAAGAAGGCAGUUCAUUUUAAUCUUUUGAAUAUUUUUGCUGUUAUCUUCAAAGCAUCUUACAUUUCUAUCCUUCCACAAUGUCCACCAGAUGCUUGCAUGAAUCAAUUCCCACCAGUCCUCUUUUGUUUAUCUUCUUCCAAUCUCAUUCCAGCAUUCCAUCAUACCCUUAGUAGUUUUGAGAACCACCCAAAUCACUCCAAGUAUACACAAGAGCAUGUUCCACAGAUUUGCAGCUGUUUUACAGUGCAAUAGCAGAUGACUAUUUAUUUCAACAUCCUAGUCACACAUAAAACAUCUUGAGCAAAUUUUUCUACCUCAUCUCUGUAGUACUUCAUGAGUCAAACAAGCUUUCCUGCAAACUAAUCACACAAAACAAGAAACUUUUAGGGGGGACUUUGGCUUUCUAAAUCAGCUUCCAAGGCCAGGUCCUAAAUAGUAGUUGACCAAUAUUCCUCCUCCAAUAGCAGGAUUUCACAGUGAAAACACCCUUGUUGUGAAGUUUCCACACUGACAGGUGUAUUAGUAAUUCCAUUGAAAUCAUUUAUCACCAUAAGCAAAUUUUCAACUCUUUGAACCUCCCAAUAAAAAGUUGAAGUUCCAACCUUGUGUGCCCCGCGUAUGAGCUAUAGUAAUCCUAGCAUGUCGACUGAGAAGGAAUAGAUGAAGAAAGAGAGAUUUUAAGCUCAUUUUACCUAUCCAAUGUUCACUCCAUAACUCAAUCUUCAGGCCAUUACCCACCUUGAGUUGAAUAUUUUCUUGAAACUGGGGCCACAAUCUUUUGAAUAGUCUUCCAAACACUACAACCAAAAUUUUUUGGGGUAUCUUCAGUGAUCCAGUAAUCCAGUGACUUUAAAGUCCAUAUUUCUCAAUGAUGAUUCUUCUCCAUAAAGGCAUAUCCUUAAUACAGAACCUCCAUAACCAUUUUUGCAAGAGAUAAGAGUUUUGAAGACCGAGGUUCUUAAUACCUAAUCCCCCCGCUUCUUGUAAAGUGUUACAACUUCCCAUUUUACAAGGUUUGUAACCUUUUUUCUCCUUGUUUCCAUUCCACAAAAAAGUUUUUUUGAGAAAAUUUCUUCUCUUCUCAAUGCUCUUCGGUAUAGGAAAUAGGCUCAUCAUAUACGAAGGAAAGGAAUUCAAUACAAAUUUAAAUAAUGUUAAUCUCUCUCCUAAGGACAAAAAUUGACUCUUCCAUCUUGCCAAUCUCCUAUCACAUCUCUCUAGCACUUCUCUCUAGACCUCUAUCUCUUUGUUUUUUGCACCCAGGGGCAUCCCUAGAUACUUUGUAUGUAGUGCAACUAUCUGGCAUCCAAGAUUACUUGCUAAUAUCUCUAUAUUAUCAACUUUGUUCACAGAGUAAAGACAACUCUUUUGCCAAUUAACAUGAAGACUGGAAAUGCCUUCAAAAACAGUGAGGAUAGCCUUAACAUGUCUCAUCUGUGAUACUUCAGCUUCACAAAAUAUUAACAUCAGUUACACGGAACAAGAGAUGAAGUCCCAAUAUAAGAUGCAUGAGCCUUGUGUGAUCAGAUACAAAUACAUGAGCCUUAUGUGCUCAGAUACAGAUACAGCGAGCAUUGUCUGCUCAAUUACUCAAAGCCUCUGGUUUAGACAGACAUACAGAGCGGCAAAGACUAUGGGCUAGCUGUCUAUAUCGAGCUUACAGGACGAACAGUUAUACUGAAGGCCACAAGGUCAGUUGAGUGUCAAUAAGGGUACGUAGAUUAAUUUUGCACCUGAUGGGCUAAUGGAGGCUUGGGUAGGUGGUAUCAAUUAUUGUUUGUACAUGCAAAGCAUAUCGGGGCCAGUCAGUUUGUUGUUUGAUUAUUGUUGUAUGAUUUGUGUCAAGAACCAUCAAAACAUACCAUGAUUAUUCCCGUUUCUUCUUCCAGAGUAUGUUUGGUAUUUGAUGACAGUAGUAGCUCCGUUAAGUUAAGUUGAUUGUUGAUUUAUUUAUGAUUUUAAGGUUUAAGCCAUGAAGGGGUAAGUACGUUUUGGAUAACCUAAGACUCUAUAUUCAAGUAUUUACAGUACUUGAUAUCAUGAUAUCAGUCCAGCUAUUUAUAGAUUCAAGAGUUGGUAAGUGCGCUCAAAUUAUCACUGGCCCCCUUAUCUGUAUUUAUAUUCAGUACUUUAUGGUGCGUAAUCAUUU